GCGCAUGCCUAUACAUGCAGUCGAGCGAACAGAUGAAGUGCUUGCACUUCUGACGUUAGCGGCGAACGGGUGAGUAACACGUAAGGAAUCUACCUAUAAGCGGGGGAUAACAUUCGGAAACGGGUGCUAAUACCGCAUAAUAUCUUCUUCCGCAUGGAAGAAGAUUGAAAGACGGCUCUGCUGUCACUUAUAGAUGACCUUGCGGUGCAUUAGUUAGUUGGUGGGGUAACGGCCUACCAAGACGAUGAUGCAUAGCCGACCUGAGAGGGUGAUCGGCCACAUUGGGACUGAGACACGGCCCAAACUCCUACGGGAGGCAGCAGUAGGGAAUCUUCCGCAAUGGGCGAAAGCCUGACGGAGCAAUGCCGCGUGAGUGAAGAAGGCCUUCGGGUCGUAAAACUCUGUUAUAAGAGAAGAACAAAUUGUAGAGUAACUGCUACAGUCUUGACGGUAUCUUAUCAGAAAGCCACGGCUAACUACGUGCCAGCAGCCGCGGUAAUACGUAGGUGGCAAGCGUUGUCCGGAUUUAUUGGGCGUAAAGGGAGCGCAGGUGGUUUCUUAAGUCUGAUGUGAAAGCCCACGGCUUAACCGUGGAGGGUCAUUGGAAACUGGGAAACUUGAGUACAGAAGAGGAAUGUGGAACUCCAUGUGUAGCGGUGGAAUGCGUAGAUAUAUGGAAGAACACCAGUGGCGAAGGCGACAUUCUGGUCUGUUACUGACACUGAGGCUCGAAAGCGUGGGGAGCAAACAGGAUUAGAUACCCUGGUAGUCCACGCCGUAAACGAUGAGUGCUAGGUGUUGGAGGGUUUCCGCCCUUCAGUGCCGCAGUUAACGCAUUAAGCACUCCGCCUGGGGAGUACGACCGCAAGGUUGAAACUCAAAGGAAUUGACGGGGACCCGCACAAGCGGUGGAGCAUGUGGUUUAAUUCGAAGCAACGCGAAGAACCUUACCAAGUCUUGACAUCCUUUGACCACCCUAGAGAUAGGGCUUUCCCUUCGGGGACAAAGUGACAGGUGGUGCAUGGUUGUCGUCAGCUCGUGUCG
rnacentral:rRNA from 1 species